UACGUAGGGUGCGAGCGUUGUCCGGAAUUAUUGGGCGUAAAGAGCUCGUAGGCGGUGUGUCACGUCGGCCGUGAAAACCCGCAGCUCAACUGUGGGCUUGCAGCUGAUACGGGCGGGCUGGAGUUCGGUAGGGGAGACUGGAAUUCCUGGUGUAGCGGUGAAAUGCGCAGAUAUCAGGAGGAACACCGGUGGCGAAGGCGGGUCUCUGGGCCGAAUACUGACGCUGAGGAGCGAAAGCGUGGGGAGCGAACAGG
rnacentral:rRNA from 1 species